rnacentral:rRNA from 14 species
CUUGGUGGUCAUAGCAUGAGUGAAACACACGAUCCCAUCCCGAACUCGAACGUGAAACCUCAUAGCGCUAAUGGUACUAUGUCAUAAGCCAUGGGAGAGUAAGUCGCUGCCAAGC